AUAUUCACGAGAUCCCGUGUGUAGGCAGGACGAGAAGGAAAAUCAAAGACCGAGACGAUCUAGGAAGCAGAGCCAACCGAGACAGGUGAAACGGCAUUCCCGGCGCAAUCUAAUACCUGCAGUAGUUGAACUGCUUGAAGCACAAUCUGCAAAUCCAUCUCAUAAAUUGAAGAUUUUUAGAUUUCGAAGAAAGCACCCAUAAAUUAAUAAAAAUGCGACUGAAACCCAGACAGGAAAUCGAACUAUUGACCAGAAGAAUUCGCCAGAGCAGAUAAUCGCUCAUAACUUGGAACAAUAAAAGUCCAGACCAAUUACAUGCUAAUUUAAGAAUAUAUAUUUAAUAUAUUUAAUAUACAUUAAAUGAACUGAACAAGUAGAAUACAUUUAAAA